rnacentral:rRNA from 1 species
GGAUCCAGACUUUGAUCAUGGCUCAGGAUGAACGCUAGCUACAGGCUUAACACAUGCAAGUCGAGGGGCAGCAUGACGAUAGCUUGCUAUUGUUGAUGGCGACCGGCGCACGGGUGAGUAACGCGUAUCCAACCUGCCCUUGUCCAUCGGAUAACCCGUCGAAAGGCGGCCUAACACGAUAUGCAGUUCUCCGCAGGCAUCUAACGAGAACGAAAUGUGAAGGAGAAGGAUGGGGAUGCGUCUGAUUAGCUUGUUGGCGGGGUAACGGCCCACCAAGGCGACGAUCAGUAGGGGUUCUGAGAGGAAGGUCCCCCACAUUGGAACUGAGACACGGUCCAAACUCCUACGGGAGGCAGCAGUGAGGAAUAUUGGUCAAUGGGCGAGAGCCUGAACCAGCCAAGUAGCGUGCAGGACGACGGCCCUAUGGGUUGUAAACUGCUUUUAUGCGGGGAUAAAGUGAGCCACGUGUGGCUUAUUGCAGGUACCGCAUGAAUAAGGACCGGCUAAUUCCGUGCCAGCAGCCGCGGUAAUACGGAAGGUCCGGGCGUUAUCCGGAUUUAUUGGGUUUAAAGGGAGCGUAGGCCGUCUGAUAAGCGUGUUGUGAAAUGUCGGGGCUCAACCUGGGCAUUGCAGCGCGAACUGUCAGACUUGAGUGCGCGGGAAGUAGGCGGAAUUCGUCGUGUAGCGGUGAAAUGCUUAGAUAUGACGAAGAACUCCGAUUGCGAAGGCAGCCUGCUGUAGCGCAACUGACGCUGAAGCUCGAAAGCGUGGGUAUCGAACAGGAUUAGGUACCCUGGUAGUCCACGCGGUAAACGAUGGAUGCUCGCUGUUUGCGUCUGACGUAAGCGGCCAAGCGAAAGCGUUAAGCAUCCCACCUGGGGAGUACGCCGGCAACGGUGCAACUCAAAUGAAUUGACGG